CGUAGGUGGCAAGCGUUGUCCGGAAUUAUUGGGCGUAAAGGGCGUGUAGGUGGAUUCUUAAGUCGUGUGUCUAAGUGCGGGGGCUCAACCCCCGUAUAGGCGCAGGAAACUGGGAAUCUUGAGUGCAGGAGAGGAAAGUGGAAUUCCCAGUGUAGCGGUGAAAUGCGUAGAUAUUGGGAGGAACACCAGUGGCGAAGGCGACUUUCUGGACUGUGUCUGACACUGAGGCGCGAAAGCUAGGGGAGCGAACGGGAUUAGAUACCCCGGUAGUCCUAGCCGUAAACGAUGGGUACUAGGUGUAGAGGGUAUCGACCCCUUCUGUGCCGGAGUUAACGCAAUAAGUACCCCGCCUGGGGAGUACGGCCGCAAGGUUG
rnacentral:rRNA from 1 species